rnacentral:rRNA from 1 species
AUUGAACGCUGGCGGCAUGCUUUACACAUGCAAGUCGAACGGCAGCACGGGGGCAACCCUGGUGGCGAGUGGCGAACGGGUGAGUAACACAUCGGAACGUGUCCUUUUGUGGGGGAUAACCAGUCGAAAGACUGGCUAAUACCGCAUAAGCUGGAGACAGGAAAGCGGGGGACCUAGGAAAGGCCUCGUGCGUAGUUGGAGGCCGGCCGAUCGUCCGUAAUUAGCUAGGUUGGGUAAGGGGAAACGGCCUAACCGAAGGCGACGAGUCGGUAGCUGGUCUGAGAGGAUGAUCAGCCACACGUGGGAC